rnacentral:lncRNA from 1 species
GGAGAGUGAGACCAGUCAAGGCCUUGAUGUAUUGCAUAACAUCCUCUAAUCCUAGGGAAGGGUCAAAGAUAGAAGCCAAAGGAUCAUACCAAUGAAACACAUUUCUAGACCAUCGGUGUUAAAGAUGGGGUAAGUUUGCAGGAAAUAAACAACUGUAACACUAAUAGCUACGUCAUCGCUGAAGAUAUCUGUACUGCAAAUCCAGGAAACCCACUAGAUCAACACUGCCAUCCUGACACUACUAUCUAAAAAUGUCUUCAGAGGACCAGGGAUUUAGCUCAGUGGUUCCGGCAUCUGCCUCGCAAGCGCAAGGUCCCGAGUUUGAUCCCCGGUACCAAAAACAAAACAAAAAAAACCAUACAUACUUAAAAAUGUCUUCAGCCCAACAUCAAGAUAUCUCCCCUGCUGCCCUCUGGAUUCAGAUGCUGGCUUUAGAUCCUGCUCCAACCACUUAUCUUUGUUUUUCUUAUUUUAUAUAAAUUCUUCUUAUUAAAUGCCUGACUGCUUGCACCAUGUCUGCCACUAAGUUUCAACAGAUGGUUUGACUGAUCCAAGGAAAAACAUACUGUUCAGAGGAAAGAUGAAAAUCCCUUCUUUCUCUGAAGAAGACAAGAACUCUCUCCUUGAGCAAACCCCACUGAGACUCUUCAAGCCCUCUUUUCAACACAAGACCUCAACAGGACUGCGUCUGCCCUGGCUGAGUCCAGUUUUAGCAAUACUCCUGCUAGGGUCCAAAGAUGAGGGUUUGAGACAGUGACAGAUGCCAUUCCAUACCAUAUGGAGAAGAGUCCUGGUGAGGACAAGUACACUCCUUCUAAUGGCUCAGUGCCUUCAUUUGGGAAAGGAACUGACUCUGACCCCAUAUUACACUGCUCUGGGCAGAUAAGUAAACUGGGAC